GCCUUUCGGAGCUGUGCGGCAUUCUGAGCAGGAAUGGCAGUGUGGACCUCUGUGAUGGGACAUCUUGUGGGAUCUCACAGCCAGUUCUGUGGCAAAGGAGGAUGAAGGCUUACGAGGACUCGUCAGGAAGCUGGAUAACAGAGCGAGCGCAAUGUGCUAGAAUAGAAGACCAGAAAAUGAAAUGGUGGAGUUUGAGGCUGGAUAGACAGUUUGAAAGGUACAAAUAAUGGUUUGAAUAAAGAAAGGUAUUAAUGGGUCACCUCAAGUGAAGGCACUGCAAACACAAUGAUUGGUCAUUCUGAAUUUCCGGUCCUUCAUUCUGAAUUUCAAAGUAAGUCUGUCACUUGUUUUUGUACAGAUUGUAAUAUAGCUUGUAACCAGUGAUGUGAUGAUUCUGCCAAAUGAUACAAAGUGAUAUCACCUUUAAACCGUUCCAUUUUAUUUCUGAGGUUACUAUACUAACAUGUAAAAUUUAACUACUCUAAGCCAGAGAAGUAAGUCAGUCUUUGUUUUCUUAGGGCUCCUGUGACAAGUGGACAUGCAGUGACUGCACCUUUGUUUCUGAGGUGCCUGGAUGGAGGCUCAAAUAGAAGAUGGUGUCAGAUAUAUUGUGUUAAAAUUUUACCAUUAAAGUGUAUUAUAACAUGAA
rnacentral:lncRNA from 1 species